AGGUGAAGCCAGAACAAAGAUGCCAACUGGCUAGUUGUCCCUCCCUUCCUCAGCUCCCACUCCCUGAGGUGGGGCUCAGCGGCAGAUUAAAUCAGUAACAGGAAAAGAAAAAAAGGAACGAUAUCUUCAUUGCACAUCUGAGUGAGUGAGUGAGUUGUUGCUCUUAUUAUGUCACAUCAUCGUCAUCAAAAUGUCACACCCUUGGGGGCCCACAUCCUUCUGAUAGAGGCCCUCCCGUCCUCGUCUCCAAGAGGCCUCCAGCCCCGCAGCCUGGCAGGUCGACGCUCAAGCACUGAGCCACGCCGGCGGCCGGAAGGGCAGUUUGGUUUGUAAUCGCUAGUGGUGUCCUGCCACCAAGAAGAGUCUGCUUGGACAUGUGCUCACCGAGGCAAGGCAGAGAGAGUGGAAGGGGGGACGAGGAGGUGAGAGAGAGAGAAACACCACUGGUUGCCUCCUGCACACACCGGAGCUGGCUGAGGAUGAAACCUGCGACCCGGGGACUUGCCCUUGACCGGGAAUCGAACCCUUGACCCUUCGGCCCACGCAGACACUCUAACCACACCGGCCAGGGCUGUGUCAUUAUUUUUGGAAAGCGCUCAGGUGAGUCACCAAGCUGAUCCUAUCUCCUGAACUCUGACGGCACCUAGGUGGCUGGCAGCCCCUCCCCGCCCGCCUGUCUGCAGGUGGGAAGCGGGCAGUGAGGGCCCAGGCACUAAGUGCAGACCUUGAACUGCGCCUCUGGGGACCCAGGAAAGGAGUCAGGGCCUGGGUCUCGCCCUCCAGGCACUCAGACCUCCCACAGGUGCCGCCAGGGCGGGGCGAAUUCAAGGCAGAUGCUAGUCAGUACUGGGCUGCCGUAAGAGAUGCCGCAGGCUGGGCGACUUACACAGACUUACCU